CCUACGGGAGGCUGCAGUGGGGAAUAUUGCACAAUGGGGGAAACCCUGAUGCAGCGGCGCCGCGUGAGUGAAGAAGUAAUUCGGUAUGUAAAGCUCUAUCAGCAGGGAAGAAAAUGACGGUACCUGAGGAAGAAGCCCUGGCUAACUACGUGCCAGCAGCCGCGGUAAUACGGAGGGGGCAAGCGUUAUCCGGAUUUACUGGGUGUAAGGGGAGCGUAGACGGCAGUGCAAGUCUGGAGUGAAAGGCGGGGGCUCAACCCCCGGACUGCUCUGGAAACUGUACGGCUGGAGUGCAGGAGAGGUGAGUGGAAUUCCUAGUGUAGCGGUGAAAUGCGUAGAUAUUAGGAGGAACACCAGUGGCGAAGGCGGCUUACUGGACUGUAACUGACGUUGAGGCUCGAAAGCGUGGGGAGCAAACAGGAUUAGAUACCCGUGUAGUC
rnacentral:rRNA from 1 species